GGGGGGGGGGAGUGUGGCUUGGGCUAUGUAUAUAUUUUUUGCAGUUCAUAUUAUAUUAGCAUAAAUCCCUGAUGUCAAUAUAAAUGUUUGUUAUACAUGCACUAAACGUAUUAUUUCAAGAGAAGAACGUUUUACUUUUUCCCCCCUAUUAAUCAUGUUGGUAUAUUCCCAUGUCAAAGUUGACGUGCGUCUCUUUCUUUGUUGCUUGCUAGCAAGUCCAAAGGGAAAUUGAUAGAGUACAUUCGUUUUCAAGAAAGAACAAAACCCCACAUUCGACCAUAUCUGUAAGAGGAUUCAGUCUACUCAACAGCUUCAGGCUCUGCAGGGGGAGUAGCCGGGCAUCAACCACCAUCACAGUCCUCACCCUCACUACACAGAGGGACCAAGACAGAGGGUCAUGGCUCAUAUGGUUGUCAGUCAUGAGCUCAUGGCUCAGCAAGAGCCCGCGAACAUAGCGAAAGCUCCAGCAAAAAAGCGAGGGAGAACGGCACAACCAAAGGAACCCAAGCCACCCAAAAUGCCCAAGGCCAAACCGGGACCCAAGGCCAAACCGGGACCCAAGGCCAAACCGGGACCCAAGGCCAAACCUGGACCCAAGCCCAAGAAAGGCAAGGAUGGUCAAGAGGCAGACGGCACGCAGGAGAAAAUAGACAAGACCUUCAAGAAGGUCAAGAAGAAAAGGGACCGCUUCAAAGGCAUGACUGAGGACGAGGUCAUGAGUAGAACUCUGACCGACAUCCUUGACUACAACCUGGACUAUGUUAUCAUUGGAAUCAACCCAGGUCUCGUGGCAGCCUAUAUUGGACGAUGGUUCCCUGGCCAUGGAAACCAUUUCUGGAAGUGCCUGUUCUUGUCCGGAUUCACUGAUGAGCAGCUCAACCACAUGAGCGACACCAGCCUGCCAGAGAAAUAUAAGAUCGGCUUCACCAACAUGGUGGCAAGGACAACGCCUGGAAGCAAGGACCUGUCAACCAAAGAGCUACGCGAGGGCGCCUUAAUUCUUGUUGAGAAGCUGAAAAAGUACAAGCCCCUCAUAGCUGUUUUCAAUGGAAAAUGUAUCUAUGAAAUGUUCUGCAGAGAGAUGUUUGGUAAAAAGCCCAAGAAGCUUGACUUUGGUCUGCAGCCACACAAGAUACCGGACUGUGAAGUGGCAUUGUAUCUGAUGCCCUCGUCGAGUGCCCGCUGCGCCCAGUUUCCCCGUGCCCAGGACAAAGUGCACUUCUACAUCAAGCUGAGGGAAUUGAGGGACCAGCUCAAGGGCGUGGCCCGAUCUGACGAGAUUCAGGAGCUGGAGUACAGCUUUGACCUGGGACUGGCCAAAGAGGAUGCUAAGAGGAUGGCGAUCAAGGAAGAGGCGUACGACCCAGGCUACGAGGCCGCCUUCGGCGGAGCGUAUGGCGAGGGCGGGCCAGGGCCUGAGGAGGGCCAGAGCAACGGUCACUAACUUCUCGUUGGCUGGAAACACAGGUCAGCACCAUACAAAUAGAAUGAGAGACGCUGCCGAGAAGGCGAACACUUACCAGCCUCCUACGGCCGCCACCACCACAGAAGGACAACUCCCAGACAGACCGUGGAUGAAGCAGUCUUUCACUGAUCAGAUUAGACAUUGGUGGCUCUAAAGAACCACAGGCAUGGGUGGGCAAUGUAUAAGAAAGGGUAAAUGGCUCCUAACGAGCCCUAUCUAGACGUGCACAAACCUCAAUCCUGCACGUUCUUUGCCCUCCCUUCAACAAGAAGCUGCACCUCCGUUUGAAGACAGAAAUGAUAGUUUUUAGUAUUUUGUAUUUUUUGUCAUUUUGGAAUAUACACUAGACUAGUUGAUAGAUGGAAUUGUCUACAUUUAUUAUUUUUAAAGUAUUUGUGGAAAAUUAGCUUUUUAUCUGGUUUUGUGUGUGUUGCCCACAAGGCAGUCUUUUUUAAAAUAUGUGAAAUCAGGGACUUGACACUUUGUUUUAAUACCGUACUUUGCCACAGGCUGGCACAGUAGGUGUAAGCAAAGCAUGCAUACUGUAUUGGUUACUGCUCUGACAGUACAAAUGGCUCUAAAUCAAACUUUUACACACGUGUCAGAGUCCCAAAUAAACCUGUGAACACAUACAGUAAGAUGAUACUGUAAGUAAUGCAUUGUGAAGUUUAAGAUUAGCUAGUACUCUACUUUUAUAAAUUCUGUACCUUGAGGAGAACGAACUAGACACAUGGUCAAAAAGUGAUUCCAUGGAGGGAUGUUUUAGUAAUGUCUUCACAAGCCUUUUAUCAUGGAGUUGCAAUACUCAAGAUGGGUGCUAUAUAUUUUUUAUUUUACUUUCUUAUGUUUAGUAUGUUUCUGAAAAUGUUGUUUAUAAAAUUAUGGGGAUUUUCUAUUUUACUUGACUUGUUUUUUACUUUGCAGCCUGGGAAAGAUACAGUAUCAGGUAGCUGUGUUGGUAAUAUUGUUUUAUAAGAGUUCUGAAGGUGUGUUUGUUGAAAACCUUACCUCUAGCCUUCAUUCUGUUAGCAUACCAAGAAAUUGUCUUCUGUUGCAUCCUGAGUGACUAAACCCUGGGACGUGUUCAUAAAUAAAAAAAAUAAAAACGUUUUUAAAUUA